rnacentral:lncRNA from 1 species
CAGAAUGCAAAAUCUUCAAGAAUUUUUGUUGUUGUUGUUGUUGUUUUUGAGUCAAGGUCUUGCUCUGUGGCCCAGGCUGGAGUACACUGGUGAGAUCACAGCUCAGUGCAGGCUCAAGUGCUCCUCCCGCCUCAGCCACAGUACUAGCUGGGACUACAGAUGCGCACAGCCACCCCUGGCUAAUAUUUUAUCUUUUGUAGAGACGGGGUCUCACUGUAUUGUCCAGGUUGGUCUCAAACUCUUUGACUCAAGGGAUCCAGGACAGGAUAACAGGUGUGAGCCACCACACCUGGCCAUGUGCAUGAACUUUUAAGACAAACACAAGGCCCCACAAAAGGUAAGGUUUUCCCACCUAAUUUCCAGGGGAUCUUUUGGUGCAAGGAUGAGAAGCCCUUAAAAGUACACAGACAACUCCAAAGAUUCAAGACAGUUCAUUCGGGCUGAGCCAGCCCACUGGGCAGACAGACCUUCAAGAAAGGCCCACGCAUGACAUACACCAGAUGGCUCUCCAAGAAUCGCUUCAGUCCUCAGGGUCCCUAAGGUACUGGACAGAGCUAGGAAAGCAAACCCAUUUGCUUCUUCCUGCACGAAACCCCUUGAGGUCAAGACCCCACAAUCAGACGAGGAUGGAGUGGCUCACCCUCAGUCAACAGGCCAGACUCAAGGGGUUCCUGGCAAGUCAGUUCUCCCUCGGGCCUUUGGUUUCCUCACCUACAAGAUGAGAGGGCCGGACCAGAUGGAAAUUCGGGGUUACUCAUCCUUCAAAACUCAGUUCAGAGAUCAGCUCCUCCAAGAAGGCUUCUGUGGUUGUGGUUGGUGCUCUUUCCUACCAGUACCAGCUGUCCUGAGAGCACGUCUCUACAUCUCUACCUGCAUUCUGGAAACCGGGAGAAAGCCAAAACGGAUGACAAGACACUAGAUCAGCCGUGUCCAACCCUGUGACUACAAGGACUUUUCCGCCUAUCUUUGGUGGUGGGUAUCAUCAAAAUUCUGCACAAACCUUUUUUUUUUUUUUUUUUUUUAAGCUCAUUAGCUGUUGUUAGCAUUAGUGUAUUUUAUGUGUGGCCCAGGAGCAUUCUUCUUCCAAUGUGGGCCUGAGAAGCCAAAAGACUGGACACCUGUGCACUAAAUCAAAAGGCUAUUCCUUCUGGAAGCAAUUGUAAAGAAUUUCUCACAUUAUCUUGACAUGAAAACCAAUGGAUAGUGGGACAGAAUGCAAAAUCUUCAAGAAUUUUUGUUGUUGUUGUUGUUGUUUUUGAGUCAAGGUCUUGCUCUGUGGCCCAGGCUGGAGUACACUGGUGAG